rnacentral:rRNA from 1 species
AUUGAACGCUGGCGGCAGGCCUAACACAUGCAAGUCGAACGAGUGGCGGACGGGUGAGUAAUGUCUGGGCAACUGCCCGAUGGAGGGGGAUAACUACUGGAAACAGUAGCUAAUACCGCAUCCCAUCGGAUGUGCCCAGAUGGCAUUCGCUAGUAGGUGGGGUACCAGCUCACCUAGGCGCCGAUCCCUAGCUGGUCUGAGAGGCUGCCGAGCCACGCUGGGACGGAGACACGGUCCGGCAUCCAACGGGAGGCAGCAGUGGGGGAUAGGGCACAAUGGGCGGAAGCCUGAUGCAGCCAUGCCGCGUGUAUGAAGAAGGCCCUCGGGUUGUGAAGUGCUGUAAGCGAGGAGGCGUUACUCGCAGAAGAAGCACCGGCUAACUCCGGGCCAGCAGCCGCGGUAAUAC